rnacentral:tRNA from 1 species
GGCGGGGUGGCCGAGCGGUUUAUGGCAGCGGUCUUGAAAACCGUAGGCGGUGAUGAGCCGUCCGUGGGUUCGAAUCCCACCCUCGCCG